AAUAUCUAUUAUUUGUAAUUUGGUUAAUUUAGCAACGAUUUUGAUGAUAAAAUAUUAGCAACAUUAAUCCUACUAUAUAAAAGGGGCUAAAUCAUUGCUUCCUAAACCAUGCCACAUGGGCAAAAAUAUUGAGAACUAAUCAAUAUGCCAUGUCAUCUCUUACUGGAUCUGAAAUUAAAAAAAAGUUUCAACAAUUCGCAGCCCAUUUGACCCAUCUCCUAACCCAAUCCCGCGUCUCUCUUGAUUACGUAUUUCUCUCUUCUAAACAUGACCAUGUGGGCAAUUCUGUGAGUCCCAAUUUUUUUUCUUUUUUCCUUUUGUCGUCUUAAAUUUAAAGCAAAAUCCAACAGUCGGAGAAUUCGAUUUUGUAACGUCGUCCACCACCAUCAAAGCUAUGAACAGCUUCAACUCCAUUAUGUCAUCCAUGCUCUUCAUCUCCCUUGACUCCACCUAUAUAAAUUCCCCUGAAUCCAAAUCUCAUCUGGUAGCUUCCAUGGAUGAGAAACAAUCAGAUUUCCAGCCCCAAAGCUCCGGCAAUAUCGACCACCGUAUUCAUGGCUAAGAAUCCGAAAUCACCACCAAAGCUCCAACUGAAUCGACCACCGGUUUCAUGGAUAAGAAAAAGGGGCUGCUUGGCUCCAUCUACAGCCCUGAUCCUGCAAAAAACAAGAUCUUCAUAGGGCUUGAUCUGUUAUUUAUGGCAAAGAGAUAUGGCCUGAUAUUCUAUGUCCCUGAAUUUCAUAUUUUUUUGUAUCAUCUAACCUAAUUCUACACCUCAACAUGAAUAUGUGAUACAAGGUGCAUAACUCAGAACCGUGUGAGCCGGUAUAAACAUUUUCUGAAACGUUGCUCUCAGCCUCUUUAACCUCUUAUCUUAAUUUUUGUAACACUUUCAAGGUCCUAUCCAUUCUUCAAAACAGAGUUUAGCGAUUGAGUUCGACUGGUUCUGGUUCUAUUCAUCCAAAGAGUUUGAAGCAGGUUGUGUUCUUAAAGGCGAUCUGUAUGGUAAUGUAUAGGUUGUGUUGUCGAAUAGAAUAUAUUAUGCAAAUAGUAUGGCAAUCCAGGGAAUAUCAAGCCCUAUAUUAAGUGACGAUUUGAUUUAAUUAUUUAAACAGUGUUAUUCAAAAUCUUGAAUGGAUCGUUUCUCAGUCAUGUUGUUGUUGCAGGUAGAUCUUCAAGACUCUGCUUUUGAGUUAUGUUGAUGCAAGUGGGAGCGGUUUAGUAGCGGAAAUAUAGUAUAUCAGUGACAGAAAGCAUAAAGAAGAUCCGCUUCAUUACAUUGCUGCCGUAAGUCUCAAACUGACAAGACAAUGAUAGAUGUUGCAAAGUCUAAAGACAGCCAAGAGCAGCAUGAGCCAGUGAAAGCCAACACCUGUGACUGUUCUCCUGUCUCAAUCCUUAAACCGCUAACACCUCCAGAAACACCAAAUAAAGAAAGUCCAACUAUAGGAAGCUCUUUUGUGCAAGAUAAACUGCAUCCUGGUGCAGCUAUGACUACCGAGGAAAGAGCUGGUGUCACCACUCAGAAAGGAUUCGCUAACGGAGCGUGAAGAUAAUCAUAGUUAGGUUAGUGAUGUAUCAAUGGAGCCUAAGGUUGUGUGAGAAGAGGUUGAAUUAUCUCCCACCAGAAGUUUUGAGCAUAACAACUUUAAAGUUUAGAGUGAAUGGCGUCGAGUCUGUGCAGGCUGUACUGAACCUGGAGCAAGGAGAAACACUCCCCCUGAGGAUGAUGGAAAUAAAACUACUCAAAACUCAAAGUUACCAGAAGGCAAGGAAAACUACUCUGAAACUAUUGCUUUAGGAAGCAAGUUUGGUGGUCAAGUUUCUUAUGGUGGAGAGCAUAAAGAAGGUAUGAAUUGUGGCCGAAUGAUAAAUGUGAGCGAAAACAAGACUGUAAGGGUGGUUAACUCGAACGAGGGUGAAGAUGGAUCGUUUUUCACAUUCAGAACGGUAUCUGCAACCUGUAAAGCCCAUUGCAAAGCAUGUUCCACUGAUAAUACAAGUCGGUGAAUGUAACUCUCGGAAUGAUUCUCGAAUUUUCUAUGGCAAUGAUUCAUUUUAUGUUCUUUUUA